AACGUAGGUUCCGAGCGUUAUCCGGAUUUACUGGGCGUAAAGCGUGUUCAGGCGGCUUCGCAAGUCGGGCAUGAAAUCUCUCGGCUCAACCGGGAGGGGCUGUCCGAUACUGCGGGGCUUGAGGGCAGUAGAGGGUGGUGGAAUUCCGGGUGUAGUGGUGGAAUGCGUAGAGAUCCGGAGGAACACCAGUGGCGAAAGCGGCCACCUGGACUGUACCUGACGCUCAAACACGAAAGCUAGGGGAGCGAACGGG
rnacentral:rRNA from 1 species